rnacentral:snRNA from 1 species
GUGCUUGCUUCAGUAGCACAGACACUAAGAUUGGGUACAGAGAAGAUCAGAAUGGCCCUGUGCAAGGAUGAUACACAACACUGCAAUGUUCCACAUAUUUAA